rnacentral:lncRNA from 1 species
GGGGUUAGCUCCUCGUGGGAGUUGUCCCACAACGGGCUAUAGGGCGGAGCGAAUGGUCUCCUCGUGGGAGUUAUCUCGUUGUGGUUUCGUAGACCCGAGGGAGUUGGCUCCUCGUGGGAGUUGUCUCGCUGCGGGUUGUAGGACGGAGCGAGUUGUCUCCUCGUGGGAUUUGUCUCGCUACGGGUUGUAGUUCCGAACGAGUUGGCUCCUCGUGGGAGUUGUCUCGCAACGAGUGUGU